GGAAAAGGAACACGAAGCAGAAGAGGCAGCCAGGGAGCUUCCACUGAAUGAAUGAUCCAUUGCUGAGUGUGAGAGAAUGAAAGUAGAGAAUCUCCUUUCCUACACAGGAAGGUUGUUCCACAGGGGUUUCAGGUGCAGCUUCUGCUGUUUGCUGUCCUUCUCUGCAUCGCCUUGCUGAUAUCACCCACGGUCUGCGCUUCCCAGCCCACCGGGGUUCGGGUGUAGCUUCUCUGAGGGAGAAAUCUGGAAAAGAUUUACAUGACCUGAUGCAAAUAGAAGUGAGCAGAACCAGAAGAGCAUUGUACACAGUGACAGCAGUAUCUCUUGAUGAACAGCUAUGAAUCACCUAGCUAUUCUCAGUGAUCCAAGAUAAUCCCAGAGAUGCAUGAUGAAAAAUGCCAUCUGCCCUUCAAGAAAGAAAUAAUGGAGUCUGAAUGAAGACGGAAACAUACUAUAUUUCCUUUUCUUUCUUUUUUCAUUUGAGAUCUCUUCCACAAAAUGACUAAUAUGGAAAAAGGUCAUGUACAUGAUUCCACAUUCAAAUCCCUUUAGAUUGCUUAACAUCUCUGCGAGGGGGUAGAGCACUGAGGAAGGGGGAGAAUGAGGAUAAGAGUCAGAAGAAGGCAGAGAAUUUGAAACUUAAAACUAUUUUUUCAUAAUUUAAAAAAAUUAUUUAUAUAUGUAAUGGGGGAAAAUAAAAUCAUUAUUUAAAAAAGAACA
rnacentral:lncRNA from 1 species